rnacentral:rRNA from 1 species
CACGUAGGAGGCGAGCGUUGUCCGGAAUCAUUGGGCGUAAAGAGCGCGCAGGCGGCUUGGCAAGUCGGGUGUGAAAUCCCUCGGCUCAACCGGGGAACUGCGUCUGAUACUGGGUGGCUUGAAUCCGGGAGAGGGAUGCGGAAUUCCAGGUGUAGCGGUGAAAUGCGUAGAUAUCUGGAGGAACACCGGUGGCGAAGGCGGCAUCCUGGACCGGCAUUGACGCUGAGGCGCGAAAGCCAGGGGAGCAAACGGG